CCCACUGAUCCCACACGGAUCCCACCGAUCCCACAUGGAUCACCCUCCCUUUCUCAAUCCCUCUCUCCUUCCUUCUCCCCCUCCCUCCAUCCAUCCAUCCAUCCAUCCAUCCAUCCAUCGAGCGGGCGCUGCGCUGCUGCACCGCCGCCUCCGUGGUGACCGACGGCAGCGGCGCCGAGGGCGACGAGCGCAGCCUGUACAUCAUGCGGGUGGUGCAGAUCGCCGUCAUGUGCGUGCUGGCCCUCACCGUGGUGUUCGGCAUCUUCUUCCUCGGCUGCAACCUCCUCAUCAAGUCCGAGGGCAUGAUCAACUUUCUGGUCAAGGACCGCCGCCCGUCCAAGGAGGGGGGGGGGGGGCCCGCCGCCCGUCCAAGGAGGUGGAGGCGGUGGUGGUGGGGCCGUACUGACCGCAGCGCUGAGCCCGGGGCUGGCCGCCCGCAGCCCUCCCGGGCUCGGCUCCGAGCUUUUCUUCCCGAAAAAGCAGCAGGAGAAUGGACCCGGCGUGCCGGAGGGCGGGAGAUGCUCGGGGUAGCCGGAGCCGCCAAUCCCGGCCCAUCCCGGCCCAUCCCGGCCCAUCCCGGUCCGGUCCGGCCGCCCGCGGCUGCCGAAGUAAAGCGUGCUGUGAUGGCAACAGGUCUGGGCUCCUUAUUCCGUCCGGCUCCAUCCUUUCCCAUUCCCCUUCUUCCCCAUUCCCUUCCCCUUCCCUGCCCUCUCCCCCGGGAGUCCCGGGAUGCGGCGGAGGGAGCGGGCAGCGCCCGGGAUGAAGCUUUCCCUGUCCCCCCGCAGCCCAUCCAGGAGGGAUUUCCCGUCCAGCCGCGUUUAAAU
rnacentral:lncRNA from 12 species